UUACGGCCAUAUCACGUUGAAACAUCGGUUCCCGUACAAACACCGAAGUUAAGCAACUUAGAGCCUGUUAAGUACCUAGAUUGGUAACCGCUUCGGAAUACCAGGUGU